UCGGACCCCGACAGGCACGUGUGC
rnacentral:miRNA from 1 species